UCUUUAGACCCUUGCAAUCAUUUUUUAAGACAACGCCCCAGGGUGGGAACACAGCAAGGCACCUUACUUAGUGGUGUGCUUGGGUAUCUGGAGAAGA
rnacentral:SRP_RNA from 1 species